AACGAACGCUGGCGGCAUGCCUAACACAUGCAAGUCGAACGAGACCUUCGGGUCUAGUGGCGCACGGGUGCGUAACGCGUGGGAACCUGCCCUUAGGUUCGGAAUAACUCCCCGAAAGGGGUGCUAAUACCGGAUAAUGACUUCGGACCAAAGAUUUAUCGCCUUUGGAUGGGCCCGCGUUGGAUUAGCUAGUUGGUAGGGUAAAAGCCUACCAAGGCGACGAUCCAUAGCUGGUCUGAGAGGAUGAUCAGCCACACUGGAACUGAGACACGGCCCAGACUCCUACGGGAGGCAGCAGUGGGGAAUAUUGGACAAUGGGCGAAAGCCUGAUCCAGCAAUGCCGCGUGAGUGAUGAAGGCCUUAGGGUUGUAAAGCUCUUUUACCCGGGAUGAUAAUGACAGUACCGGGAGAAUAAGCUCCGGCUAACUCCGUG
rnacentral:rRNA from 1 species